UGGCGGCGUGCCUAACACAUGCAAGUCGAGGGAGAACGGGAAGCUUCGGCUUCCUCAGUAAACCGGCGCACCGGGUGAGUAACACGUAGGUAACCUACCUUCGAGACCGGGAUAACCUGUCGAAAGAUAGGCUAAUACCGGAUAUGACCACGGGGGUCACGGCCUCCGGGGUGAAAGAUGGCCUCUGCUUGCAAGCUAUCACUCGGAGAUGGGCCUGCGCGCCAUUAGCUAGUUGGUGAGGUAAGAGCUCACCAAGGCUACGAUGGCUAGCUGGUCUGAGAGGAUGAUCAGCCACACUGGGACUGAGACACGGCCCAGACUCCUACGGGAGGCAGCAGUGGGGAAUAUUGCGCAAUGGGGGAAACCCUGACGCAGCGACGCCGCGUGGGUGAUGAAGGCCUUCGGGUCGUAAAGCCCUGUCGGAGGGGAAGAACGAUUGUCGUGCAAAUAGUGCGAUGGUCUGACGGUACCCUCAAAGGAAGCACCGGCUAACUCCGUG
rnacentral:rRNA from 1 species